GGGAUGUGGAGGUGCCUCUUGGUGGAGUUUCAGGAGACCGGAAGCAAAGCAUUCGCCCCGUACUGCUAUUCCAGAUUUGAGAGUGCCCAUCGCAGAGCGGGAGUGUUGUCAGCCUCACCUCUUGUUGAAUGAGCGAAGCAACCUAUGCAUUCAAACCAAAGGUCAGCACAGGCGUAUGCCAGCCAUCUCCUCUGCUCCAUCAACAUGGGGGAAGGACCCAAGCAUUGACACGUGAAUCGAAGUGGAGGAAGUGAUGAAGCUGUGAAGGGACCCGCCGAGGUCAGCUUCGGCUCAGAUCCCAUGAACCCGCGGCUCUCAAAGGGGUCAGAUUUAGGAACUUUCUAUCACAUGUAGUACCAAGCACAGCACGUGUGGACUGUCACUCAGCGAUGCCCUUCUCCAGGCUCGUCACCUUGACCCUCACCUUCUCUUGCGUGGAAGUUUUGCUACAGCCUCCUGCGUGGCCUCUCUGCCUCCCAGCUCUCUCCAGGCCAGUCUAGUCAUUGUCCUCAAGUACCUGAUUGAAACAUUGCCCUCCGGUUAAACACAGGUGGUGCUCCUGUUAGCGGCUGUAGACACAUUUGUUAGGAUACUUUCGGUUAUAAGUAAU